GGGGAAUAUUGGACAAUGGGCGAAAGCCUGAUCCAGCCAUGCCGCGUGUGUGAAGAAGGUCUUCGGAUUGUAAAGCACUUUAAGUUGGGAGGAAGGGUUUCUGGCUAAUAUCCAGGAAUUUUGACGUUACCGACAGAAUAAGCACCGGCUAACUUCGUGCCAGCAGCCGCGGUAAUACGAAGGGUGCAAGCGUUAAUCGGAAUUACUGGGCGUAAAGCGCGCGUAGGUGGUUCGUUAAGUUGGAUGUGAAAGCCCCGGGCUCAACCUGGGAACUGCAUCCAAAACUGGCGAGCUAGAGUAUGGCAGAGGGUGGUGGAAUUUCCUGUGUAGCGGUGAAAUGCGUAGAUAUAGGAAGGAACACCAGUGGCGAAGGCAAUCCCCUGGGCCUGUACUGACGCUCAUGCACGAAAGCGUGGGGAGCAAACA
rnacentral:rRNA from 1 species